rnacentral:rRNA from 1 species
UACGGAGGGUGCGAGCGUUGUCCGGAAUCACUGGGCGUAAAGGGCGCGUAGGUGGCCUGUGGAAUUCUGCGGGGAAAGCCCGGCGCUCAACGCCGGGUCGGCCGUGGAUACUCUCGGGCUCGAGCUUACUAGAGGCAGAUGGAAUUCCGGGUGUAGCGGUGGAAUGCGUAGAGAUCCGGAAGAACACCGGUGGCGAAGGCGGUCUGCUGGGGUAAUGCUGACACUGAUGCGCGACAGCGUGGGGAGCAAACAGG